UACGUAGGGUGCAAGCGUUGUCCGGAAUUAUUGGGCGUAAAGAGCUUGUAGGCGGUUUGUCGCGUCUGCUGUGAAAUUUCGGGGCUCAACCCCGAACUUGCAGUGGGUACGGGCAGACUAGAGUGUGGUAGGGGAGACUGGAAUUCCUGGUGUAGCGGUGAAAUGCGCAGAUAUCAGGAGGAACACCGAUGGCGAAGGCACGUCUCUGGGCCACUACUGACGCUGAGAAGCGAAAGUGUGGGGAGCGAACAGG
rnacentral:rRNA from 1 species